GAUGAACGCUGGCGGCGUGCCUAAUACAUGCAAGUCGAGCGAACGGACGAGAAGCUUGCUUCUCUGAUGUUAGCGGCGGACGGGUGAGUAACACGUGGAUAACCUACCUAUAAGACUAGGAUAACUUCGGGAAACCGGAGCUAAUACCGGAUGAUAUUUUGAACCGCAUGGUUCAAAAGUGAAAGACGGUCUUGCUGUCACUUAUAGAUGGAUCCGCGCUGCAUUAGCUAGUUGGUAAGGUAACGGCUUACCAAGGCAACGAUGCAUAGCCGACCUGAGAGGGUGAUCGGCCACACUGGAACUGAGACACGGUCCAGACUCCUACGGGAGGCAGCAGUAGGGAAUCUUCCGCAAUGGGCGAAAGCCUGACGGAGCAACGCCGCGUGAGUGAUGAAGGUCUUCGGAUCGUAAAACUCUGUUAUUAGGGAAGAACAUAUGUGUAAGUAACUGUGCACAUCUUGACGGUACCUAAUCAGAAAGCCACGGCUAACUACGUG
rnacentral:rRNA from 1 species